rnacentral:rRNA from 1 species
GAUGAACGCUGGCGGCGUGCCUAAUACAUGCAAGUCGAGCGAACGGACGAGAAGCUUGCUUCUCUGAUGUUAGCGGCGGACGGGUGAGUAACACGUGGAUAACCUACCUAUAAGACUGGGAUAACUUCGGGAAACCGGAGCUAAUACCGGAUAAUAUUUUGAACCGCAUGGUUCAAAAGUGAAAGACGGUCCUGCUGUCACUUAUAGAUGGAUCCGCGCUGCAUUAGCUAGUUGGUAAGGUAACGGCUUACCAAGGCAACGAUGCAUAGCCGACCUGAGAGGGUGAGCGGCCACACUGGAACUGAGACACGGUCCAGACUCCUACGGGAGGCAGCAGUAGGGAAUCUUCCGCAAUGGGCGAAAGCCUGACGGAGCAACGCCGAGUGAGUGAUGAAGGUCUUCGGAUCGUAAAACUCUGUUAUUAGGGAAGAACAUAUGUGUAAGUAACUGUGCACAUCUUGACGGUACCUAAUCAGAAAGCCACGGCUAACUACGUG